GGGUUUAUGUUAAUUUUUAAAGUGCCUCUUAUAGAUCCUUGGAUCUAAUUAUCGUGGAUUUUAGGAUGCUAUUUGAUUCUUGUAAUUAUAAGGAGGCAAAUUCUUGCAGGAAUGUUGAGUCACUUCGCCUUCGAGUUUUCACGGGCUCAGUGAAUUACAUCCUGUGACAUCCCUUUUGAUUCAAUUUCAACUCGCUUUUACUAUUUUUCGCGUUGUAUGGGGGCUCCGAUGAUGGCAUGAAAUCUUUGAGACCUGAUCAUUUUGUUGAUGACAACUAUAAGCAUUAUUUCUGAGGAC
rnacentral:lncRNA from 1 species